rnacentral:rRNA from 1 species
GAUGAACGCUGGCGGCGUGCCUAAUACAUGCAAGUCGAGCGAACAGACGAGGAGCUUGCUCCUCUGACGUUAGCGGCGGACGGGUGAGUAACACGUGGAUAACCUACCUAUAAGACUGGGAUACUUCGGGAAACCGGAGCCAAUACCGGAUAAUAUAUUGAACCGCAUGGUUCAAUAGUGAAAGACGGUUUUGCUGUCACUUAUAGAUGGAUCCGCGCCGCAUUAGCUAGUUGGUAAGGUAACGGCUUACCAAGGCGACGAUGCGUAGCCGACCUGAGAGGGUGAUCGGCCACACUGGAACUGAGACACGGUCCAGACUCCUACGGGAGGCAGCAGUAGGGAAUCUUCCGCAAUGGGCGAAAGCCUGACGGAGCAACGCCGCGUGAGUGAUGAAGGUCUUCGGAUCGUAAAACUCUGUUAUUAGGGAAGAACAAAUGUGUAAGUAACUAUGCACGUCUUGACGGUACCUAAUCAGAAAGCCACGGCUAACUACGUG